GACGAACGCUGGCGGUGUGCUUAACACAUGCAAGUCGAGCGAGAAACCAGGGGCUUGCCCUUGGUGGAGAGCGGCGAACGGGUGAGUAACACGUGGGCAACCUGCCCCAGACUCUGGGAUAACCCCGGGAAACCGGGGCUAAUACCGGAUACUCCCACGGGAUCACAUGACCCUGUGGGGAAAGCUCCGGCGGUCUGGGAUGGGCCCGCGGCCUAUCAGCUUGUUGGUGGGGUAACGGCCUACCAAGGCGUCGACGGGUAGCUGGCGUGAGAGCGUGGCCAGCCACACUGGGACUGAGACACGGCCCAGACUCCUACGGGAGGCAGCAGUGGGGAAUCUUGCGCAAUGGGCGAAAGCCUGACGCAGCGACACCGCGUGCGGGAUGAAGGCCUUCGGGUCGUAAACCGCUUUCGGCAGGGACGAAGCGAAAGUGACGGUACCUGCAGAAGAAGGUCCGGCUAACUACGUGCCAGCCGCCGCCAUAAAAC
rnacentral:rRNA from 1 species